CCUGCGCAUCAGGGAACUGAGAGCGCUUUCCUUGAGGGAAGACUCAGAGAACACUUCGGAGCUGCCACGUGGAAAGGGGAUUGAAAGCAUGACGGUUCAAGGUCUUCCUGCAGAAGGACAGCCCAGAAAGCACAUUUUGUUAUGGGAAAAUGAAACCAGAGAACUUGUUCCACUGAGAGCUGAGGGCAGGUGAACAAAACAACGUACAAGCUGGACCCUGGGCAGCGGGACAGCCCCUCUGCGAAUGCCCUGGUCAGGUGUGCACAUACCUGCACCUGCCACUUCUCUGAGUGACCAGCGCCCCAGGCAACCACUCCGAAGUACGGGAGGCCCGGCGUGCCUUCUUCAUCGUUCAGCGUUCCCAGACCUUCUGAUGCUUGCGUCCUUACCUGCGCUUCUGUUGGCCCUGGUUUUACCCGAGGCAGAGAAAUCAGACACCUUCAUUUCUGUGAUUGA